CUCUGGUGGCACCGCGCCCAGCACUUCGGGCUCUUGGUGGCGGCCGAGCUGCGGGACCAGAGAUCCCCCCACUCGGCACCCCUGCUCCUGCCGAGUGAACAGGACUCCUGGCUACUCUGCACUGGCUUUCUAACUUUCUGAUGGGGGUGCAGUCCUUUGCAUUCCAGGGGUCACAGCAACACCCGCAUCGCCCGUUCUCAGCCGCAGGGUCUCCGCCUGCAUCACUCGACUCUAAAAUUUCCUUCCCUAGUGCACGGAACUGCUGUCCAGGACUCUGCUCUCCGACUACCUCAGGGAGGAUUCUGUUUUGGGAAAAGUGUUGAUCCAUUUCUAAUUCAUCUUUGUUUCUUCAUAAUGGAGUGUUGUGCCAGGUACUGUUGAGGGUACUAGCUGAUCACCAAACCCAUUUACUCUUCUUUCUUAGUAUAGAAUUGCAUUGUCCAGCCUCCCUUGAAGUUAGGUGUAGCCAUCCAGGCUUAACCUAUUGUUAAAAAACCAAC
rnacentral:lncRNA from 10 species